GGAUUAGAUACCCUAUUAUUUUUGAUAUAAAUUAUUUAUAACCUGAGUAGUAUUAGUUAUGUUCUUGAAACUUAAAGAAUUUGGCGGUAUUUUAGUCUGUUUAGAGGAAUCUGUCCCUUAAUCGAUAAUUCACGUUGAACCUUACCAUAUUAUUGUAUGUAUACCGCCGUUAUAAUGGCGAUCUUUUUAGGGUUAUAGAAGAAUUUUCUUAAUUUAGUUAUUUUAAUUUAUUUCAGGUCAAGGUGCAGCUAUAUAUUUUGGUGGAGAUGGAUUACAUUUAUAUUAGUAUUUGGAUUAUUUAGUGAAAUUUUAAUGUGAAAUUGGAUUUAAUUGUAAUUUUUUGAAGAUUAUAAGGGUGAAUAUUAGCUCUAUAAUAUGUACACAUCGCCCGUCACU
rnacentral:rRNA from 1 species